rnacentral:lncRNA from 1 species
CCACAGCUGAAGGUCAGUCCCCAAAGCUGGUUAUGGUUGAAAGGGAGGAAAAGCUGCUCCCACGUGGCUCUGGCUGAGGCUUCCGAGACUCUGCAGGUGGGGGCCGUCUGUCUUCCCCAGGUGGGAGCUACUUCUUUUUAGAAGCAGGCUCCACGGCGGUUUUCAGGUGUGGCCUUGCCCAGCGUCCCGAUGUUUUGCUUCCUGCCUGGCCUCGGCGCUCUUUGAUGACCUCCUCUUGCCACACACUGUGGUCUCCAUAGGCUGCCCACUGCUGAUCCGAGGCUGGUGGCCCCCAGCACACGUGGGUUUCUGAGGAACACGCUGAGACUCUCGGGCCAUGCCGUGACACAGGGGAGACAGCGUCUGCUCUUUUUCCAUUUUUGUUCGUUUUCAGUGCUCUGACCCUCAGGAAGCCCACUUAAGCAUCCCAGAAUCCAGACGGCCGUGAACAAAGCUGCUGUGGUUUGGGGCUGCAAAACUGGCCCACAGCCCACCUGGAUAACUGAAUCGAACAUGCCUCAGCCGCCCUCACCACAGGCACCAUCCCCCUCACAGAAGUUUGAUGUCUGAUCAUUCAGCACUGGCUGAGCCUCAGAGCUAAAAUGGAAAAUGCAUUUUAUGAGCAGAUAACACAUUUUUGGAAUGGCUACUUUAAACAUUGUGGAUACAGAUUCACAGAGACUAUUUUUAGAUGAAUUAUUUCUUCUAUUUACCAUACUGAUUUGCUGGAAGAAAGAAAAACAAUAUUUUAAAAAGGGAAAACAUUCUUUAAAAGCAGUGACUCUAAAUUUCCCCUGAAGAGCAAAAUGCUGUCUGUGUCUCACUCAAUGUGGUGGCUGCUACAGGAGGAUCUUCCCAGGCCUUCUCAGGGAAUUCCCAUCAGGAUCACAGGAAUGGUACCUGGCAGACACAACCCAGUCUGCACCUUCCAUGGGCCACAGCUGAUGGUACGAGGAGAGGUGUGACAUCUGCCUGACCUCAGCUCUGGGGGUUCCUGUGGGUGGACAGAAGGAGCCCUGGAGGCCCGGCCAGGAUGCGUCAUCUGUGGCUACCACGUGGAUUCUCUGGUGUGCUGAGUCAAGGCAGCGAUCUUCCAAGUGUGGUCGCUGUACCUCCAUCAGCACCUCCUGGGACUUGUCAGGACGCUGACCCGGGCCCCAGCCAAGUUCUGCUGCUGCCUCAGGGGGACAGAGGCAGGGCCUCACUGUCUGAUGAUCCAGCCCUGCAGGGGGCCCGCUGCACCUGCAGGUGUGAGAGCCGCCGCUGAAUUAAGGCUCAGUUCAAAAGCCACCAUUUCCACCAAGACGUGGUGACCUCAACUGGAUUGGAGACAACGCCUCUCCCCAGCUCCUCUGGAAUAUGGUUCUGUCCUCUGAGCCUGGUAUCGGCGUCGAUGCUGUCUACAUGCGCUGCUGGCUGGUCGCCUACUGGAUGUGUCUGCCCGCUGGGGGAAGGAACCAGGCCCUGGAAUGGGAUCCUGAGUAGGAGCACAGUCUGGAUAUUCCUGCAGGAGUGAAGAGACAUUCUCAGGGCGGAUGUUGCCAGGACAAAGAAACACAAGCAACAACAAGAACAAAACUGGAGGUGAGAGCUGUGAUGGUGUUGAGAGUGGCUCCUCGUGCUUUUGAGCACCUUUAGCUUUCUGGAAUGUUCCACAUGGGGUGUGAGCCAUGAUGGUGUUGAGAGUGGCUCCUCGUGCUUCCAUGCACCUUUAGCUUUCCGGAAUGGUCCGUUGGGGGUGCGAGUCAUGAUGGUGUUGAGAGUGGCUCCUCAUGCUUCCAUGCAACUUUAGCUUUCUGGAGUGUUCCACGGGGUGCAGAGUGUGUCUUCAAACGUGGACACAGGUGUGCAGGGGUCUCCUUUUGAUGCGUAAGGAAUAAGGAGACACGGGGUGCUGAGGUGUCCUCUCAGGCCCAGAAGUUAGGCUUCCUAACACCGUGGACCAGGUUUAACCACACAUGUGUUUUCCUCACAGUGCUGGAGGCUGGAGGUCCAAGGUCAAGGCUUGGGCAGGUUGGCUUCUCUGGGGCCUCUCUCCUUGGCUUGCAGACAGUACCUCCUCGUGGUGUCCAUGUGGGUGCCCCUCUGUGCACAUGGACACAGGGUGUCUCUGUGCGUCCUAAUAUAUCCUCUUCUUCUAAGGACGCCCCUGACAUGGAUUCGGCACCCUCAUGGCCUUGUUUUAACUUAAUCAACUCUGCAACGACCCUGUCUCCAAUUUUUCAAAGAGCUAAAAGUGGAAAUACCAUUUCACUCAGGAAUCCCAUGACUCAAAGGAAAAUAAAUACUUCUAUCAAAAAGACACAUACACUCACAUGUUUAUCAUGGCACUAUUCACAACA